rfam:Ailuropoda melanoleuca scaffold1256_48, whole genome shotgun sequence.
AAAAAGGAGCUUCUCAGCUCCUUCCAUAUUCUCAGAUGGAAUAUG